AGCAGUCGCCGCGGUAAUACGAAGGGUGCAAGCGUUAAUCGGAAUUACUGGGCGUAAAGCGUGCGUAGGCGGUUUGUUAAGUCUGUUGUGAAAUCCCCGGGCUCAACCUGGGAAUGGCAAUGGAUACUGGCAAGCUAGAGUGUGUCAGAGGAUGGUGGAAUUCCCGGUGUAGCGGUGAAAUGCGUAGAGAUCGGGAGGAACAUCAGUGGCGAAGGCGGCCAUCUGGGACAACACUGACGCUGAGGCACGAAAGCGUGGGGAGCAAACAGGAUUAGAUACCCGCGUAGUCCCUGUCUCUUAUAA
rnacentral:rRNA from 1 species